rnacentral:rRNA from 1 species
GACGAACGCUGGCGGCGUGCUUAACACAUGCAAGUCGAACGGGAAGGCCCUGCGUUUGUGGGGUGCUCGAGGGGCGAACGGGUGAGUAACACGUGAGUAACCUGCCCUGGACUUUGGGAUAACUUCAGGAAACUGGGGCUAAUACCGGAUAGGAGCUCCUGCUUCAUGGUGGGGGUUGGAAAGGUUCGGUGGUUGGGGAUGGACUCGCGGCUUAUCAGCUUGUUGGUGGGGUAGUGGCUUACCAAGGCAUUGACGGGUAGCCGGCCUGAGAGGGUGACCGGCCACAUUGGGACUGAGAUACGGCCCAGCCUCCUACGGGAGGCAGCAGUGGGGAAUAUUGCACAAUGGGCGGAAGCCUGAUGCAGCAACGCCGCGUGCGGGAUGACGGCCUUCGGGUUGUAAACCGCUUUCGCCUGUGACGAAGCGUGAGUGACGGUAAUGGGUAAAGAAGCACCGGCUAACUACGUG